UACGAAGGAUGCAAGCGUUAUCCGGAUUCAUUGGGUUUAAAGGGAGCGUAGGCGGACUGGUAAGUCAGUGGUGAAAUCUCUCAGCUUAACUGAGAAACUGCCAUUGAUACUGCCGGUCUUGAGUACAGAUGAUGUGGGCGGAAUAUGACAUGUAGUGGUGAAAUACUUAGAUAUGUCAUAGAACACCGAUUGCGAAGGCAGCUCACAAAACUGUAACUGACGCUGAGGCUCGAAAGUGCGGGGAGCAAACAGG
rnacentral:rRNA from 1 species